AGCAGCGCUGCGCCGUGUCGUGCGUCGUCCGGCACGCACUAACCGAGAGUGUGUUGGGCCAAUCUCAAAACUGGGCACUCACUUCGCUCAACCCCCGCCCGACACUCGAGUCAAAGUCCCGAGAGGGUGCAAGUUCUUCCCGAGGUAUUACAAAAAUAGAUUUGUACGAGUGUAUCACUAUGUGCGGUCGCGUGCACUCUGCCACGGCACUUCACGUUCUGCUCCUCUUCCUGCUCGAUCCUCUGAUAAAUCGGAAACGGAGGCAUCAUGUUAUACGAACACAGAAUACAUGCGAGGCUUUGCUACGGUGGGGAAGCUGCUGAAUGAUCUCUCAAUGUUAAUCAGAUUGCAAAGUCAAUAGAGCUUCGUCGUGAUUCUCGAAUUUUAGUUCUUUUAGUUGUCCACAUUGUGGACGCAUGACGUAAACGACUGUUACAUCAAAUGCCGCACUAUCAACGACGAGGCUUAAAGAUCGCUUUCACAUUUCUUGUGCCAUAAUUACACGUUACGAGUAUAUUAAUUAUUGAACAUCGAUGUUAAUUGACAUUAAGUGCAUUACACAUGGAGAAAGCUUUUUAAUAUCCGAGAAAUUCUAGUAAAUUGACCAAAAAAGACUGACAAAAAAAUUUUUUUUAAAUAAUAAGAGUUGAUAAAAAUAUACAGCCGAAAGGAAAAGAGAACAUCUGUCGUAUCAAUUAAUAGUAUAUUGUUGCUACUGAAUACUGUUUAGUAUUUGCGUCAUUAUUUGAUAAUUCGAAUAUGACUGCAAUUUUCAAAAUCUAAUGAUAAUAACGGAACGACUCACUAAACAACGACGGCCAAUGCAGCAACAACGAUCACGACGAAAAUUCGCGCGGCGAAGCGUUUCGUUGCGUCGACAGAAACUGCGAGCAACCGCGUUAUCGCGUUACAGCUUAUCAACGAAAUAUCUGUCUACUGACCGCGAAUGGCGACGAUGACGACGACGUCUCCGUGCCGCGCGCACUCAUUCCGAUCCAAUCGAGGCGCGGAAUCGACGACCUUCGGCUAUUCGACAUUUCUUCGAACGCGAUGGCCGUGAUGCGGGAAUUAAUGCGCUUCAAUUGUUAGCUCUCGAUUUGUAUUGCCCUCGUACCUGUUGCUUGUUUAGUGUAUCGACGUAAAGCGUAACUAAAGCGAUUACUCUCCAGAGAUGGUCCGUGCUGAAUUUCUAUGUUCUCUCUUACCGUUUGUUCUACCGGAAAUAUGUGCACACCUAGCCAUAGCAGGUAUACAAAUUAUUCAGUGCUUGUGUUUAACAAAGAAAUUAAGCAUUUAUUUAGUUUCUUUUUUUUCGAAGAGAUAUUUGUUAGUUGCCCGAUAAAUGGAGGAAAGUAUUAGAAAAUGUUGGUGAAUAUUUCAAAGAUUGGCAUAUUUUUAUAGUCUUUUUAUAGUUUUAUAUUUUUAGUCCAAUUUCUUCAAAAACAGCAGCGAAUGAAUUUGCGCAUAUAAUAGAAAGUUUUCUUCCUACCCUUGUCUAUAGUCUAUGAGUUUAUAAGGGUUUCUUUACAUUUCCGGAGUUUUUACAUAUUUCUGUGUUGACUGAUUAUGAAUCGAGAACAUCGCUGCGCAAGUUUUGAAGUACGCGCGGUCGAAUAUUCUGGGUAUUUCUAAUUAUUCUCAUUUAAAGUCAAAAUAAUCUUUAAUAAAUCUUUAGGUAAUCGCAAAAUGACAUAAAGUUCAUUUUUAAAGAAUUGAAUGAUUCCAAGUAAAAAUUGGAAAAUGUAUAAAUGUAUGACUUUAAAUCCAAUUGCUAAGCUUUAAUCACUAAGCUUGAAAUUAACAAUAUCAUUCUGCAAAUGUUAAGUGGCUAUCUACUCAUCGGCCAGUAAAGUGUAACAAAAGCGCUAAAUAGCGCUCUAAAGUUAUUUUACACAAAUAUUUUUAAAACAGACAAAAAAGAGAGAGAUCUGCAGCAUUUUCAACUUGAAAUACUUAAGGCCGACGCUUCCGAAUUUCUUUCAUGUAAGAACCGAGUAAAAGGCGUUCCGACCCUUUAACCUGGCCGAGAAAAAGUUACCACGUUUUGCUUCGCAUUUCAUUGAUCUGGGCAAAGUUUCACGGCAAAGAAGACAUACUUCAAACCAGCAUUUUCAACAGUAAAUGCCGAAACACACGUCAAACUACACAAAGCUACGUUGAAUCGGGGAGAAUGCACAUGACAGUAUUUCUCGAGAGUUUCAAAGUUAUCAAGACAAAACGCAGUUUACAAUGCAUUUACUUUGACACAACACGUUAUCAAAAGGCGUGCGCGAUAUACUUCGCGAAUGUAUUCGAACGCAUUUUCAUUCGAACGACACUUUUUCGCGAGACAUACGUUUCUCUUCCCUGAAUUUGCAUAUAGAAAAAAAAGCGAAAGACCGGUUUUACGUGAAGAUGAAAUAAAACGGAUUUCGCGUAGCGUAUGAUAUUUCACACGACAAUUUAUCGGUGUAUCGAUUUUCUCUCAAAAGAAGAAGCAGCCGUUUGCCCGUUUCUCAACUCUUCCAGAAAAAGAUGAUCGCUGGCAGCGAAAUGAAUUAGGACAAAUCACAGUUGGAAGCUGCGAUCGCACAGCGAGGCGAGCGCAACACGCCUUUUAUUCCCCGUCUACACUUCUCUGCGGCAAAACAUACUCGAGAGAAGCAACCUUGGCCAAGUUUUGCGACAGGGAAUAUUGGAAAUUCCGCUUUGUGUGACGCUACGUGAUGCAAUAUAUUUUGGCUUGAUAUCGCUUGGUCCGAUCCUGCGAUAUAGAACAACAGUGCUUACAUCGAAAUAAAUAUACAUAUUAUUUCGAUAUAUGUGUUGCGCUAAAUUAAUUCAAAAGCGUUUCUUACUUUGCUCGCAAACGAGACGGUGAUAAAUAUCCGACAUCGAUACACGAUGUUUGAUGAUAUCGUAACGUUGAGAAAUGAACGACUCGUCGUAGAACGAGUCGACCACCGAAAAUAAAUUUCUCCCGCGGAUAUGCGUCCCUAUUUUUCGAUUAAUUGAAAUCAAGGUUUAUUGCGUGUACGGUCAGUUAUAAUUACUCCGGAACAUACACGAGUUAUUCGUUUUUACCGAUAAAUAACUAAAAUGAAACAGAGCAUGUGCCGCGGUUAAAACGAACACGAAGUCGAAUAUAUUUAUUUCCGCAGUCUCUGCAGUUACUGUCGACGCGCAAAUAAAUUGCAUAGAUGCUUCGUAUGUUCAAAAAUAACUACGAUUGCUGGAAGCGCCAUCACGUUCUAACGUUUCAACUAUAAAUAAUUAAACAGCGUCAUUACUCACUGUUGCUUUCGGAAAGUUAUUCUUGCAAGUUUAACAUGAUUUUUAUGCUCUUCCGCUUGUACGAUAAAUUGCCCGUGACUUAAUACUUUGCUAAUUAACUGCAAUUAGAUACCUCUUUAAUAUCCGAAAUGAUUGAGACGACAAUUAAAGAAUAAGAAUAAGUUUAGACAAUAUAUUAUUGUGACAUUGACAAAUUAUCGUUAAUUACCCAUGUCACAGACAUUGAAUGCACACAAACAUUCUGCAAAAAACCGUUAAAAAAGCUUGAAGGAAGGCAUCAAUGAGAACUAGAAGCCAGAUAUACAAGCAAGACUACAUUCGGAAUAAGGUAACAGUGGCUAUUGUGUUUCUCAACAGAUAUCCCCAUGAUUUAUAAAAAGCAGCAUAAACUUUUGUCUCGACGAUGUACUUUUUCGGCGCGUUUACGGCCCCCUACAGCGAGUCUCAGGAAUGUCAUUCUUUCGAAGCAUCAUCGACCCCAAUUCACGAAAUCUCCUUUGUAUUGUUAAAAGUUAGGUGUCUCGCAGUUACGCCUCUCGCCCAAACUACCAAAGUUCACGCCCACAGUGUAUUACGUCAGUCAUUAUUACGGUGUACCGUUCAAGAUGGCGAUUUAAGGACAAAGUUGGAAAUUUCGGGACGGGAACAUCUCGACUGCCUAACCGUGCACUUUAAUCGUGAGGCGCGCUUGCACUUUGCGAAUGAAUGUAAUUACGAGCGAAACAUUGUCUCUGUAUUUUCAGACACAGGGCACGAAAAACGGAAUGUCACAACUUGUAUAAUAUAAUAUAAUUUGAUAAAAAUCUUGAGUAAGAGUAAGAAUUUUGAUUAUUGCAGAUGAACAACGCUUCAAGAUUUAUCAAAACUAGAAAUCUUAAUUUGCAACUACAGAUCUUGUUAUUUUUAUCUACAUUUACAUGCAAAAUAUUUAAUAAGAUUACUUUAUGAAAUAUGACGCUUAUGGCGAUAAAUAUUAUCACUCACGAAUUAACGAGAAUCGCGCGAACUAGAGCAGUACAAGUUAAAGAUAAUCCCUCGCGAAUUUUUUGCGGACACAUUUUACAAGUCGGCUUGCAAAUUAGAGCUUCUUUCCUUAUGCGAAUUUCUUCCAUUGAAUUUUGUAUAAAAAAGACGGCAAAGCGAAAAUGCCGUGUCAAGUUAACGUGAAACGGUUAACUCAGCAAGCACGAUAAAAGCGUGGCCUUUUAUAUUCCACGUCCGUCUUUCCACGGUAUCGUCUACUUUGCGCAGUGUUUUCCUCUUAGAAAAACCUUCUCUUCCUUCCUAUCUCCUCCCCCGCACGAAAUUAAAACUUGUUUUGACGAUGUUCGAAGCUAAUGUGGCUUCACUUAAUCUCAAACCGAUCCAUCAAUCGACCUUUUGCUCGUUCCACACGCUUAAAAUGCGAUUGAGGACAAUAAAAUUGUUAAUGUUUUACGGUUAAAUUUCCGUGUGAAAUGCUUCUUGAUGGAAUCACUAUACGCAUUUCGUUACACUGGUGAGGAUAGCGUCCGUUACGAUUCUAACGGGACGUGCGGUGGUGUGAGUGAAGUUAAGUAAAGUGACGUCGGAAGUAUAGGCGAAGUGUAGAAGAGUGUACCGUGUUACGGCAUUAUGAGAUUACUUCGUAAAGUCCCCUUUCUUGAAGGGAGUUCUCCGCGGCGGUUAAAUGCUGCGCGAAAACGAUUUUUCGAGCAUAAAGCCGCGACUACCGUUUUUCGACCGCCGAGGACACUGUUAAUCGCUUAAUAGAGAAACGUAUCCCGCUCCCCUUUGAUUACGUUAGCAUUGCUAAUUCGCAAAACUGCGUUUACCGUCGCUUUCUUUGCCCUUAUUUUCUCAGCCGUGCGCGAGCUCCACCCUCUCCCCCCUCUUCCUUCUCCUCCUGCUGCCUCCCAUCUCCCUUGACACGAUAAAAGAUCGCUCGGUCUCAAUGGCCCGUGCUUUAUUUAUGCGAUAAAAUAUAAGGAAGGUAAGACGCCGUAACGAGAGAGAUUUUCUCUUUUGGUGCGCGAGCAUGCGCGCGCGUAUGCGCCGGCUGACGGAGAGCAAUGAUCUCGCGAGAAAUCCGUCUGCAUGCAUCGCCACGCGAACGUAAUCCCAAAUAAAGCGCGUCGGAACGCGUCGGCCGACCAAAUAAAAUCGAAUGAAUUAUUAACGACGAUAAGGACAAUGCGCGUCCGCGCGCGAGGAACUCUUGUGAAAGGCGAACUGUUUGCUCACACGAGGAAACCCGCGUGUGCGUUUCUUCAACCCCUUCGCUCUGCGAAUCGCGAUCGUACCGUUCCUCGUGCGCAGCACUGUAGCGUUUGUAAAGGAUAACAAUCGGAAAAUUAUCUUACUUCCCCCGCAGCGAGGUUCAUGGUUUAAUAACGUUUCUGCGCAUUAUUUAUUUGCUCGAUAUCGCUCAUGUUGUGCAAGAGCGAUGCGAGCAAAAAAACUGUCUUCGAUAUUGCACAUUGAUGAAAAUUAAAGUUGAAACGAGCUGAUUCGAACGAAUCAUAUCUGCGCGAUCGAACUAGGGGAAUUUCACUGAUAUUCCCGCACGCCUGAAUAAUGCUUCGCGCGAAUUAAACUCCCUGAUCAUAAAUCACGCCUCCUUGGAUGGUCACGCAAAUGAAACGUCAUCUCGACGCUCGGACUAACGCGUCCAAGUUUUACUCGGCAACGUUAAUGCAUCGGGCACGUAGGGGCGCAUGCCUGUACGAAGGACGAGAGAUAAAAAUACGCUCGCGUCGUCGCGGAAGCACUUCCUCCUUGUGCCGUGGCACUUUGCCACCCCGUGUUACCCCACGGUUUAUACUGUACAAACGCGACGGCGGCGCCAGGGACUUUUUAUCGCGCCAAGGAGCACCGAUAAGCCCGAGCCGCUCGUGAGUCACGCUUCCGUUCCGCGCGCGCGCGCCAAUGCGCGAGCUGAAUCCUUCGCGCACGGACAGAGUGUUUCUUUCACAUUCGUCAUAAAACGAUUAUCUGAGCGACGCGGGCGAUUACAAUGCGGCGAUACGCCACCUCCACCCUCCCACCUACCCUGCCUCGCGACGUGCGCGCGAAUACAUUUUCCCCUUAUCGAGAAAAUGAUUUCUGAUGGAUGGAUGGAGAAACGCCCCGAUUCUCUUUUGUUUCCUGUCUUGCCUUGUUCUUCGGUAAACUGCAAAAAUCUCCGGCAUUCGUUGUGCGCUCGACGCUCAACUCUUUUGAUAAACGGACGCCGUAAUUAAGCCCCACCGAUUGCGCGAAGGUUCUGAUAAAUGAUCGCGGAAAUACGCGAUACGAAGCACGUAACAUGAUUCGCGCGUUCGGGGCGUGCCGAAGAAAUAAUCUAACGCGGAAAAAAUCAAGUCACUCUAUCAAUAGCGGAAGUGUACUAGGGACAUUCGAGUUACGGUGUGGUUUAAACCAGAAAAAGGCUACGCUAUCGAUAUACGUAUACUAAUGUAAAUUUCGUGUGGAUUGAAGCAGAUGAUACGGUAACAAUGCAAUAAUUUAAAUAGCAGCGCUACAAAGGACGUCAUUAGCUAUGUGCGAUCACGGCGCGGCGUGCCAGAGGCGCGCAACGCCGGUAAAUUACGCUUCCCUCAUGAGCACUUUUCCCCCCUUAUCGAGGAAACAACGUACACCUAAUGCUGCGAUGCGUCCUUGGGGGAUGGCGGCCACUGCUCGCGAAAUCGUCCGCGCAAAACAAGGCAAUAAUAGCCGUGCGGCGUGAUCUCAUCCGGAUCGGUAAGGCGCGAGUCCUACGUGAUUCAUGCGCCGAAGCCUUAAAAGAAGAUUUUCUCGAGUCGUGACACGAAAUGCCAAGAAAGAAGCGUCAGCGUCACGAGAAAAGCGUCGCGAAAACACAACGCCUGUUUUCACGUUAUUCGAUAUCUUGAUUGAAUAACUGAGUAUCUCGAGAAACCUCGAGAUGUAAUUCAAAGUUCAUAGUCCACGUUUAGCAUCAAAUGCGUAAUUCUGAUUUUUUUUAAACUAAUUUUUUAGAGUAAUUUUUGUUAGACCAAUAUGGAGUGAGAAAUCUGGCUAGAGAAAGAAAAAAUAUUUCGAGCUAAGUGUGAAAAACGCGAAAUCAGAUCAUAGCUUUCUCUUUGUCUGCGACGCACGAUCUUCUCGUCGACUUUAUCGACUUUCUAUCGCGGAAAUCGACUUUUCCUGAAUCUGAGUACCGUAGGGAAUAGAUUCAGACUCAUGCUCAGCUCGCGUUUACAACGAAAGAUUAAUGCGCCGUUACUCGCGGGACUUACAUAAAGACAGGCCGGUGUCAACAAGUUGCAUCAUUUUCCGACACGAACAGCUCGCCGAUCAUCGCACGCGCUGAUUAUCAAACGAUGCCUCGUGGAGUGACGUGUUUGCACAAUAGAAACAUUAUAUAGAACGUUAGUUAAACAUUACUGUCAAAGUUUUGCAGUGUACCGAGAAAAAAGAAAUUGUGGCAAUUUCUAAUAAUUUUACACACUCGCGCGCGCGCGCGCGCGCAUGAUAUCUUUUACACAAUUUAUUCUUGAUAAAAAAUUUACCCUGAUAUCAAAGCACCAUGUCAGAUUUUAAUCAAGGACGUACGAUUUUAGAGAAGCUUUCAAUCGUAAAAUGAAUGACUCAGUUAAAGGGUUAAAUCUAGUUCGGACGGAAUAGCGUGCUUUCUAACGAGUUAACUAGCAAUCGAACGUGUUCCUAAUUGGUGGCCUCCUAACGUAACACCCUACGGGUAUCAUGGCAUCCAACCCUGCGCUAAUUGUUCCAAUGUGAAAUCCUUUACGCGUUUCGUAAUACCUUACGUUAUAUGGCGAAGAUGAUUUUAGUAAUUUGAUAUCCGAGGUACGCGAUAAAUGUACGUAUAUUAAGAUUUUAUGAAUCCAAUAACGUAUAUAUGUCAGAACUGCUGAGAAAUAUGAUUAUGAGAUAUUUAAAGCUCAGGUGAAUCGGCAACGAGUAACAUUGGCUAAUAAAAACUGCUGAUUAAGCAACGAGGAAUUUUUUAAUCUGUCUGCAAACAUGAAGAAAGAUAAAUUUCGUGCCUGAAUGGCUGACGGAAUUAAGAUGAUCAAAAGUUUAAAUAAAUUUAAUAUACGACUAUUACAUCAUGUAUUUAUCAAUAAAUAUAUUCUUGAAAAAAGAAGCAAUCAAAAUUAUAAUCUGUUUUACAGAUUCCACAAUGCAACUGUAUUUAAAUCGUAACAUAACUUUACAUGCUUCAUCGCUCUGUGUGAAAAACAGAUUAAGUCGAUUUUUAAUAGUACAUGAUCCUUACAUCCGUUCCCUUCCAUGAUGGCCCGACGAACACGCGACACGCGGAAUCCACGCGAGUGAGAAACGACGCGCGCGCGGAGCAGGUAGGUGAUAUGCGAGAGGAUUACACGUUGAAAUUAUCUAUCGGGCAAUCGACGCGCGCCUAUAAUUCAGCCACCAGGAUAAGCGGCGGAGGUAUCAAAUGGUAGGCGCUAUUAUUAUCUGCUUCUUGCCGAGCAAUUCGAGACCAUUUGCACCUUCCGCCGUGCCCAGGUGCGCCUAAGUACGGUUACCGGCACAAGAACGGUAAUUUACAAUGUAUAUCCCCUCCCUCUCUCUUCCGCUAUCUGUCCGAUGUACGAUACGACGUGCGAGCGCGGCUCUAUCCGCCUCGAGGUGGAGUGAUUCGAGGAUACGCAAGGACGGACGACUAAUCGGGCCUUACGGACGCCAAACUGAUUAACUCGUUCGGAUAUCAGCUACGGGUUUCCAAGCGAGAGACAUCGCGAUCACCUCUUGGACAGAGCUAUUCUGGAGAACCGUAAAAUGACACGCGCAUUACCUCCCUUUUUAUACGAUUUUUUCUAAACGCCGGGAAAGAUACUCGGAAUGGCUUCCAACUGCGCCAUUUGAAUUUUAGAUACUGAUACGGUCAAUCAGCGCGGACUGAAAAAACGGGUUAAGGAGAAAUGAAGCUAAUGGAUUUUAUGCGUGUUACAUGAUGCAGUGAAAAAAUACUCUCGAGAAUGUUGGUUUCCAUUUCCAUUACUUCCGGGUUUUUGCAUAAUUCACGGAUUUGCAUAUGUAAAGUGAGUUUUUGAAAAGCAGGUCUCUUCUCCGUGCUGCACGUAGGCGAGUACUUAGUCAAUUGGAUCAAAGAUGAGCGGCAUUUCAGGCUUGUGUUCAGAGGUAGAAACCUCACCACGACGAAUACGUAGAGGCGCGAGGCGAUGUUAAUGACAAUCGGGAAGAUUGGCGUAAGAGUUGCGCGAUGUGGACACACCUUGCUCCAGCAUGACGCGCGGAGGUGUCACGAUGCAGGACGAUGCUUCGUUGAUCGCACGCAUCAUCUUCUACGCAAUAAAGAUCGAUCGUGAAGCUCCUAGGAAGAUGCGCGCUCAAAGAGAAGCGAAUCCGGCUCGAAACGAUGCAGAUCAUCAGCGUAGGGUCGUAAUUUCCCAUUAACGCGUUCGAGCGAGAAAGAACGCGUUCGAAAGAGGGAGGCCGUGCAGGGACCCCGCGGAAUCUCCCCCGUCGGUAAUCGUCGGGGCGCGAUAACGAUAUAUACCGAGUCUCGUUAUCGGUCCGACGGACAGCAGGAGGGUGGGACGUCACCCGCGGUGCGGCACCUCUCACGCUGGCAAUCGACGGUUUAAUGCACGUCUGCUGCGUCUGGCAGGUGAUAUCCGCGGCGGCGGCAGCGGGUCCUCUGUGCGCGUUGUUACAGCGUCGUAGUGCCGCGAUUCCCGACCGGAUUCGGAUGCGCUCGGCGUUCCUCGGCGGCCGGCCGCGUCGUACGUGCGUCCCGGGCGCGAACAACGGGAAGAGACGAGCAUCAAGUCGAUGGUAUACGGCGGCCGGGACGGGGAUGGCCGGCAGGUGAGACACAGAAGGGACUGACGAUUCUCUCUUUCUCUAUCUCUCUUUGUACGGCGGGCAGACGCGCGGGCAAGAAUCGAAUAAAGAGGGAUUCGCGAAUAAAAGGAGAUAGGUAUCGCACGGUAUGUAAGAUAGGAGCGACGAAGGAGAGAGAAAGGGUUGGAAGAGAGGGACGAAUGCACGACGUAAGAACGAACCACGAGAGGACGGGAGGAGUGAAGUGAGACGAAAAGACCGAAAGAGAGGAGGGAGAAAGCAAGAGAGAAAGAAGGAGAAUACUCAAAGAAGGAACGGAAAGAGAGAGAGAGAGAGAGGCACGUGCGCGCAGCAGCUCGUUCCGAGGCUCGCGACUCGACUGAUCUGUGCGUCCGCGAAGUCGAGUAGCGCCCCAGAUUGCUGGCCGGAGUAGUCCUGCUGCACCGGGUCACGUACGAAUCUGCUGCCACAUCUCACCACAUCACCGCCGCGCCACCACCAUCAUCAUUAUCAUACUACUACUACUAUUAGUAUGUCAACGAUUACUGAUGAUGAUGAUGAUGACGACGAUGAUAACGAUGACGAUGACGACGAUCCUUUAUAUCGGCCGUGACGGCGACGCGCCGCAUGUUCAUAUCGUUCUGGCGGCGGUAAUGCACCUCGCACGCACUUGGUCUCGGAUGAUGCGUCGUUGGUGUUCGUGUUACGUGUGCGCGCGCGUUGCCCGAGGCCGACGGCGCAACGCGCCAAGGAGAACGGUGGAGUACGCAACGGGGUGACCGCUACGCGCGCGUAGGGAGCACGGAUUACGGUGUCCGGCUGGCGUCGCGUCGUUGCGUCGAGCACGUAACGCCGUCGUCGUCGGACUAACUUGAUUUCAGAGAACAAAGAUAAGGCGCGCGUGCCUUUUCGGAUUUUUCACAGACUCGCCACGUAAACCCCAUCCUUCCUUCCCGCCGCGGAAAAUUCCGUGUACAUCCGCGAGUAAACACAGCUUUCUCCUAGUCCCUCUAUAAUUUCUCUGCAAUUUCCUAUACCUCUUGUAUCUCGUUUCCUGUUGUCCAUUUCCUGUUAUUGUGUUUACACAAGAUCCCUCAGAACUAACACCGACGCUUUCUAGCAGCUACGGGUUUCUCGGCAAACGUGUAGUUGAUUUUUUUGCUGAAAGAGGGUGAAUCCAAGUGACUAUUUUAAUACUUGACGCGAUGGGAGCCAAUAUACGCGAUAUGCCACUAAGCGAACACGAGCGAAUGAAGCAGUGUUCACGAUGCUUCAAAUUGCAGGGCAUUCGAUUACACAGUCGGAAAGCGGAAGAGAAAACGAGAGAGAGGGAAAGAGAAAAAAGAAAUGGAAUACAGAAUACGUGUUAAAAACCGUUCGACCAAAUAAAAGACCAAAUUUGAUCGACGUGAUAGCUGAUGCUGUACAGGUAGCGAUUUAUUGAGGCCAGCGGAGCGGCGAUUGCGUGUGUUUGAUAUCGGUAUCACGCUUUCCAGCAGGCUGCUUUUGACUCUGGACUUUUUGAAGACAGCCAUGCGUGCAAUCCGCGUCGUGUGCUCGCUGCGAGAGCUAUCGAAAGGUUAAUGAAUUAUUUAGUGUUUGCCUCAGCUUCGUGCCAACCCUUGCAGUCUACGUGGAGGAAAUCGACGCAUCAAUUUCAAGUGCAGAGUUUAAUAUAACGAACGGAAACAGUUCGAUAUCUCCUAGCAGAAACGAAUGUUUUCGAUUUUAAAUCGCGUAUCGCAAUUUUCGUUCAAUGGAAAGUUAGAGCCAAUAAUUUAUCUAGUUUCCAGCUUUUAACUCGAAAAGUUUCAGCUAUCAAAGAUGCAAAUAAAAUCUUUAUUACGAUAAACUUCGAUCAAGAAUUUGCGACAAAUUUAGUUCUCCUGUUAUCUAUUUACUUAUUUGGCAUUUUGCAUAUUUCCUUCGGGAACAAGUCAACGUAUUUCCGUUAGUCGUCAAAAUUGAACUGUCUCUUAAUCAAAACAUAAUUCGUACAUCGCACAGCUUAAUUCGCCAUUAAUCUUUCCCUCUAAACGUUCUCCCUUUCCCAUCUGUCAUAAUUUAACAGCCAUAUGUACGGAUUGGAACGGUCUUCGGUUUUGAGAGAUUGAACAUCGUACCUUUAAAGAGCAAUUGGGCGCGAACAAAGCAUUACCGUUACUCCUCGUAGUCUCAAGUCACCGACAAAGUUCCAGCCGAAUUGAUGAGUUCGGAGAAGGAAGGGGUUCGCAGGCGUGCUCCCUCGUCGGUAACUUCCAUACAAACUAGCACGCGCUUUGCUCCGUACGCUACUUAAUAACGAGCGCGCAGUAACCGAGACGCCGCGGUGUUCCACAUCGGGAGAUUCACAAAGGUAUGCAUACACACAACAGACAGACAGACACGUGUGGAGUGCGUGCAGGAUCCUCCGAGCGACGCUCUCGACAUCGGACGUUCGGUCGAACGGACGGACAGACGGACCAACGGAUGGACGCGGUAUAUCGGUGGCGCAGCCCCAUAAUCGAUAAUUAAAGCGUUUCAUCGCACCACGUCGAAAAGGCUUCUAAUCGACGCUAAUUAUCGUAUCGCUCGUAACCGGCUUCGCUAGUAUAUCCGUGCUCACGCGCGUGCGCACACGUCCUUAAUUUAAUAUGACUCCCGAAGGUGUAAUUUAUGCUCACGCGAGUACACCUACUUACCCUACGGGGUCCCUCCCUUCCCGUUCUUUCGCUCAGCUUCACCGCGAUUUAACGUCUCACGGCACCCCGGCCGCGCGGCAGGGAACGCUGAGAGCGAAGAGCGGGCAGAGGGAGGAACACGGCCGUGGUGGACCUGACGCGGUGGCAUGACGUCUAACGAUACUAUGAAUAAUUCAUUAUAAUUAACCGGCUACGCGGAGCUGGGACGAAUCUCCACCUUCGAUCUCUCGCCCGAUGACCGGGGGCCGGCGCGAUCACGAUCUAUUUAAAUCGGCGUAACUAGCUUUAACGCUGGGCCGCCGCGUACCCGGGGAGCCCGACCACGGGACGGUCUCCCCCCUGUAGGGUGGUAAUUAAAAGCGAGGGGAGUUAUUAUCGCGCGUUACCUAGGAAGACCGAUCGCUAUCGUUCCUCCCGUUUACACCCGGGUGAUACACCCGCUUUGUAGCAAGCUGCACCGAAGAAGCAAGUAUGCGGUAUAUGAUAGAUAAAUAUCAACCGUUUACAAUUUUAAGAAAUGACUGUUGCUUUAGCGAUUGGCGAAGAAGAAAGUGUGAUAUAUUAUGUUAUAAAUUUUAUGCCACGUAUAAAAUAUUCGAGAUCAAUGUACAAUUUGUUACAUCGACGUAAAAAGAUGGACACACGGCGGUAUGUUAAAAUUUGUUGAAUCACUCGGCGAGUUAAUGCUCAGUGUCAAGGCGAUAAAGAAUGCUGAUCCUGCUAUCAGGUCCAGCUUCGAAAACAGAAUACAUCGUCCCUAUAUGGCCAUAAUCGCCGCUAUAAAGUAGCCCCGGCCGGAUCUCAUAUACCUCGCAAUCGCCAUCUCGCCAUCAUAUACGAGAAACGAAGAAUUUCUUCUCGUGCGAUGUAACGACGGGAGGAUCAUUUCUCGCGUGCGACAGUCAAUCGCGCGAUUUAACACGCUUUCACGUGUUGCACCCAUCGUCUCCCUCUUUCUCUUUUCUUCUCUCUUCCGGACACUCGCAAUAUCCAACCAGAUAAUAAACAUAAAUUCGGUUAUCGUUGCAACCUCAGGAUGGUCAUUUUUUAACCGACUGUUAAGGCCUUUUCGUUGCAAAAUCGAUGCAAAAUCGAUGCAAAAUCGAUGCAAGACAACAUUAUUGUAUAAAAUGAAAAAAUUGGGAUAAAAUCGAUUCGAAAAUGCUCGAUUUUUUGGUUUUAUAUGAAAGAAUGAUAUUAAUGAGAAAAUGAUAUUAACACCGAAACAACGCAAGGUGCUUUCUACGGAGGAAAAAACGUCUAAUUACAAUUAAAAGCAAAUGAGAUCCCUUUGGUUAGAAAACAGCGAACAAUAUCGCGCGCGAUUUCGUUACAAUUAGGAGAGCUAAAGGGUGGGUUGUCCACUUGAAAACGCAGUUUCGCGAUAACGGGAGCGUGCCCGUCCGUCCGCGCGAAACUUGUUAAUAGAAAUGCGAGACAGUUUUCGCAAAUAGGUCGCGACGGCUCGGUGCGUGACGACGGAUUGUGGGCCGGUGACAGUGCGAUUAGCAAACCGGAGCAACCGUUUCGGCUCGCGAACUUUUCAGCAGGGUCGGUGGAAUCCUCGAGAUGCGCGGAAUUCAAAUACUUUUCUAUCGACCGCGACUAUGUGCAUCUCUUUCUUUCUCAAUUACUAGAUGUGCAAUGGAUAGAAGAUUAAAGCUUAAUCAAAUAUGUAUUAAUUUUCUUACAAACACGUAUUUGAAAAUGGAAGAGAAACAUUAAAUGGAAGCCACUGCAUCUUUAAAAAAAUAAUUAGCAAAUUUCAUCAUUCCAAAUCAUUCAAACGACAUAUAAAAAUGAAUAAAGCGAGAUGAUGAUGCUCAAACGAAGCAAAGGAAUUUUCAACGAUAAGAUUAGUAGUCCUGGUAUUUUCGUAAUAAUCGCAUAAUCGUGAAUGCUCAUCAGUUUCCGAUGAUUUUAUAAUACCAAUUGACGUUAUCGACAGAAAAUCAUCAUAUUGUCCCAUUUAUCCGAGCGUCUCGAUUAUUCCACUUGACCCUACAGGACUGUCAUCAAACCGCCACUAUCGGCAUGUCGAAUGUCGAGGCGGUUAAUCAAGUUCGUUGGAGCGUGCUCUCGCGCCAUCCCGGCUUUAUCCCCGUUCACGAACGUUCGCGAACGGAACUUCACGUGUGCGCGUCGUUGCCCGGCCAGCGGUUCCCACGGUACGUCCCUGUGUGAUCGACUGCGCGCAAACAAGGUCGAGUCGAACGUCGGGUGUGACGCGUCGCUUCGCGUUAUGCUACGACGUAGUAGGAUCCAGCGUGGCUAAAUGGCGGUAGGCGCGUGGAUCUCGGGCCGAUUAGGCUCGUCUCCGGACACGCACGAGCGGAUCGAUCGGCCGCCCCUCGAAACCGCAAGAGGCGAAGGCCAGCCGCUGCUAACAAUGCGAGAUAUCGCUUUGCGGCGCGCGCGCGCGAUUGCGCAAGCCUUACGAAACGAAGUGCCGGCCACUUUUAAUAUUCGCGUUGGAGAACGGCGGAAAGAGAAGGAAAGCGAGAGAAUGAGAGAGAAAGAAAGAGAAAAGAUGAGGGGGAGAGAGGGGAGUGAGAGGGAACAUCAGCCGAUCAGCGUGAAAGGGUGCGCGGCUCACUCGAUCGGGGUACUGGCGAACCACUCGAUGUGCGUGACGCAAUGGAGGAUAAUGACUGGGUAAUGGACAUUCGUACCGCCCGGUUUGACCCUUGAUUACGGGUCCGAUGGUCGAGAAAUUUCCGCGCGCGGAAAUCGGAAGUGUCGGAUAGGAAAUCCGCUCCGAAACAAGGUACAAAACCGGACUGCGGAUUCCGAUGAGCUUUCGAGACUUGGAAGACUCGGGAAUGAUAUCUGUUCAUCUCUUAACGAUGAAAACAUUUUGACGUAAAUUUAUCGCAAUUUUCUGUUACUAUUUUGCUACGUAACGCGACCGAUGCUUCGCCUCUUGACGACGAUUUGCGGAAUUAAUUCCGCUCUUAUUUCGACGUUAUCAUCAAACAAUUUUCCAUCUAAUAUAAGAACUGUCUUCACUAACUAGCAUAAUUUGCAGAUAUCGACAAAAGUACCAUUUCUUCGUUAGUUGCAACAAUUUCGCGGGCUCUCCUUGGAAAUAUAAAGCGUGACGAAACCGGAAUACCUACACGGAAAGAAAAAAGUAGCUGCCAUAGCUAAAAACUGCGUGUGGUAACUAAAUUCAGUCGUAAUAUAUGGACAGCUAAAUUUUAGCUCUGAUACCUAUUUUAUUAGAUAAGGUUCCUAAUUCAUUAGCUGCAAGAGCAAACAGUUUGCUGUAGGUUAGAAAUUUAUAGCUACGGCAGCAAACAUUUUUUAGCAAAUCAUGAUUAGCUACGGUAGCAAAAAUUUUUCUUUCUGUGUAAAUGAUCUGACUUAAUUUCGAGAUAAGAAUGCUACUAUAUACAAUAUACGCAGUUGUUCUGUUGACGGAAAAACCAGAAUCGCGCUAUUUAACAUCUCCGGCAUCUUACUUCUACCGUGCCCAGUACGAUAAUAGCAAUAGAAUUUCCAUGAUGAAAUCGAGAUUGAGCGUCAAGGUGCUCGCCACCGGUACUUCGCCGAUAAUAAAAAACAAAAAAGAAAUAAGCAGAAGAUACGAGCGCCAAUUAAAACCCGCUUAGUCAUCACACUUCUUGAUCCCGCGCGAAAAAACAACCGAGUCACGGUGUCGUCUACAAAGAGAUCUCGAACAAUCGGGCAACUCGCUCGAUUACGAUUCCGGCAGUUACGAAUACGGUAUUUGCGAUGGUUCAGACAUAACGAAACCUAGAGCGGAGCGAAAUUAAUUAAAGUACAAUGAAAAACGCGUAUCGCGCGCCUCGGAAGUGUAAGAAAAUAUCGAGAAACGCGAGAAGCGACACGCUGCACACACUGAUCCUGCAUCCGAGUUGCGCUUUGUGCCCUUUGUACCCGGAUGCAUAAUGAACAGGCGGACGACUCGACGGCAGAAGCGACGAAACGUUGAUUUUCGGUUUACGGCGUUGUUUUACGGCGCUUUGUGGAGUCACCCGACGCGACUUCACAGACAGAGGAAGGAGGGGAGAAAAAAAAGCGCGACAGCAAGGAUUCCAGACAGACGAUUUUGAAUUUCAAACACGCUAUCGAAUUUGACAGUGUUCCCCGACACGUCGACGAUACUCCGAUCGCGAUUUCGAUAACGUUUCUUGCUUCCAAGUUCGCUCUAUCGCGCGACCCACAAUUUGCGACGGAGAAAUUAUCUAUAAUUUUAUGUAUCACAAAGUGAGGGUCGUAUUGUCGUACUGAGAAAUUCGAAUUUAUUCUAUUUUGCCGUAAACAUCAGAGAUGUAAACGGAAUGUACGUAGAAAGAUAUUAAAACAUGAACAGUUAGAAGAUAGAUGUUGCAUAAUUUCCACUUUAAAUUUUUAUCAAUAGAAAACACUAUUCUCGUAAUGUUAUUCCUAAAGUUGGAAUUAUACAUGCGGAGCGCACAGGACAAGCCUGAUUUCUCAUUCUUUAUCGAUCGGAGAUUAUCAGUAACGACGUGUCGAAUCGAUAUCCCGACAAAAGGCUCGCAUUUCGGGAGACGUAACGUAACUUGAAGGCGGAAACGUUAACGCAGCUGCGCGCGCGAUGUCCUUAAGUGCAACAAUGCGCUUCGUUCCCGUUUAACAAUUUUAUUUGCGUCCGCAACCGGUUUCGCAGAAUGCAAAUUGCCGCCGCGUGCCGAGGAGUUGCAGCAAAACGCGUAACACACCGCGCUUUGUAGCGAACUAUAACUACGACUUCGCAAACAUCGUCAUCUCCACAGACGCCAGCCUCCGCAGCAAGUUGCUCGACUACCCGAGGACGGCAGUUUGCGAAACGUACAUUUCGGUUUAAGUAGUCGGCAGGCUUCUAUUGAGAAAUAGCACGGAUUCAUAUGGCAGACGUAUUAAUCUCUCGGAUGACGUUGUGUCGAGGUGUAUCAUUCCCGGUGAGAACUCAUCGAAAUUAAUUCCUCGCUAGAAAUUCAUACCCGACGUCAAAAAUGAUACGUCGUGAUAGAUAACAACCGUGCGAAUCGAAUUUCCCACGAGAUGGAAUCAGUCAUCGACUUGUUAAAUUGCUGAUAAAUUCAAGCACGAUCAGCGUAAAGUCGCGAAUUCCUUGAAAAAUCGGUUUGUCAUGCGCGCCGGAUAAAAAGUGAACGGAAGCGGAGAUAUAAAAACAGAAAGGUGAGACGAGUUUUUUCGAGAUCCGAGAGCAGACAACGAUCGUCCUCGUAAAUCGCUCACGAGGAAUAAUGCCGCGCGAUUCGCUUUUCCGCGCUGAUGCACGCGCGCGGGAAACAAUCGGCUGCAAAUUUCAUUUAUCGUCGGACGAUUUCACUUACGGACCUAUCGCCCUGGCGCGAUAAUAAAGUAAUAAGAGCGACAGCCGACGCGCGCGGGAAACAUCGGUUCACUUGUUCCCUCGACAACGUGGCGCCCAUCGCCGUCAACGGUGAACCAUUCGAAACUAUUACGGUUCAUUGAAUUGCAAAUGCUCGGGCUGUGCGUUACGGACCGCGGUGGAUCCGCGUUUAAACGCGAGAAACGCUUCGAUAUGAGUGACACGCGAAUUAUAAGAUCUCUCUCGGAAAUUACGUCUGUAACGAGGAUGUAUGUACGUUAGAUUCGCGGAACGAUUCUCUGCCAUUUUAGCAUACUGGGUCAUACAAACACAGACUAAAAACGGCAAAUAUUUCGUUUGCCCGUCUGCUCGCUGCGAAAAUGAUACGCUCCGACUUUAUUCUUAUUUUUCCACGAAUCGAAUAAGCUACUUUGGUUUUCAUAAAUCGAAAUUUGGAAAUCCGAUUAAAAGCGAUUCUCAAUCUCUCAACUUCCAUGAAUUUUGCACAUCUAUCAUGAUUGGUAUAUAAGUGCUAAUCACUAGUAUUUUUAUCGAUGGUUUUAUCUCGCAUAGCAGUCUCGGUCGUUUGAACAAUGCUGAAACCCAUGUUUCCCGUUCGCACGGUUUAUUCUGGUAUAAUUAUUAUCGGAUUUCGUAGAAGUUGAUGUUGACUGAUUACGGUGAAUGUACGAUAUUCCAUGAUGUCUGUUUAUAUCACAGUUUUUUCCACUUUUAUUCAUAUUUCUCAUUUAUAUUGUACAAUUAUUUUGAGAUAUGAUAACAUAUAAAAAUACCGUAUCCGAUAUGUACAAUGUAAUCAUCUCUGUAUAAAUAAUAUAAAGUAUUAUAGAUAUCCCAAAAAAUACCCUAAAUACGAGUUGAAAAAAAUUUGAGAACAUAAGAUCAAAAAGCAUUUGUUUCCAGAGUACCCCGAAAAAUUUUCAAAUAUUUUUUCAGCCAGAAAUUCAGUCCAUUUGCGUGCGUGGAAUCGAUUCUUUAAUUAAUAAUUUUCUGUGAAGGUAUCACAUGUCUCUAUUAUGAUUUGAAAACAACGAUUGUAGAUACUUGAAAGAAGCCUGACAUAUAUUCUUGUCAACGCGAAAUCGUCUCGAGAUUAGUAGUAGAAUCCGCUGUCGAACAUCGAUGCCAGCCGAGGGGAUGCCUCGUGUGUAUCGAUAGUAAUUGCUAGCCGAUCUGUGGGAUCGAUGUUGUUCGCGACGCGUCAGGAAUUAGGAGUCACAGGAUGCGCGGGGAGGGAAGGCGAGGUCUAUACCUAAUCGGGCCGCCUACCGUUCCAUUUCCACGUAGGCGGCUUAUGUAUCCAUGUAGUUGACUUCCCUUCCCUCUUCCCCAUCUCUCUCUCUCUGUUGAUCCUCGCACGUUUACAUAAGCGUCCCGUUUACGUGCACUUCGAUCCUGCACCAGCCGAGCGACACGAUGCGGUUCCGCGCGACGAACGGGGCAUGCAUCGUCGUCGCUUGCGAUGCAUGGAGCGCACAAAUUGCGAGACGUCAGCCCGCUCGUCGCGAUCGACUGGCUGGCACGCUCGUUCCCGUGCGUUUACAGUUAGUAAUCGAAAUCUACUUAUAGGUAGAUCUCCCAUGGCAAGACAGCUGAAACGCGCGCCGAACCUGCCUCCUCCUGGGACUUCCCAGUGUCUUCAAGGAUUCCAACUUCUUGGUAAGCUUUACCCGAUAGGUAACCAUAUCUUCUCUUUUUUAGAACUCUAAACAGAGACAAAGAUAUGUUACUUGUCGGGUAAAAUUUACCAAGAAGUUGGAACAAUCGGCCCUAAGAAGGAUAUUCGGGUAACGACGACGCCGAUACCGGAGCGUUGAGUAAGAUCACGAUACAGAAGCGCCGAGAACGUCUCGUGAGAUGUUCGAGAUCGGAAAGUACGCGUAGCUUAUAAAAAAGAAUUAAACUUUAAAUAAAAUAGAGAACUUCAUGGAGGGAAAGAGAAAGUGCGGGAAACCCGUCGUGAUCCAUAUAUGAUACUGCAAAAUUAUGUUUUAUUCCGUAGGUAGAACCUGUCGUCAGUCUUCUGAGAUACUGAGGGAGAAAGCACAAAUCGCCACGUACGCGCGUAUCGCCCAAAGGAUAGCGAAGCUAUCCUUAUCAGCUCUCGUUAUACCUGACACACCGAAAAGCAUUCUAUCAACGUGACGGUACGCGUUUUUAUAGCCACGUCCUUAUCAACGACAGUCUUCCAUCUCGGAGUGCAUCCGGUUUUCCAGGUCGGUCGCAACCACCGGCGAUUUAUCAUGUUAUAGUUUUGAUAAUCGGGGCCUAAGCCACGACGUUACCACGACCCGAAAGAUCGUAGCGGGAUAAUCUCGUGAUAACCGGAAGGGCCGGUAGAAACUUCACUUCGCGUGAACGGACUCAGAAAGCGCUGAAGUGCCGGAAACCGAAUAGCCGCCGUCUAAACGGACGUAGAUCCUUCUAGAAGAAUCCCCGCGUUUACGACGACAGAAUCGAAAACGACACGCGCGUAUUUAAGGAGGAUAAAGUGUAUCCAGAAGAUAAAACUUUAUCGCGAUUUUGCUCGUAAAUUAUUUCCACGGAGUUCUCUAUAUUUUUAUCGAUGAUAGUUAUCAAAAUUUGUAGGGUCAUUUAAGACUUUUUCAGAAUUUUUACAACAAGAACUCUUUCCGGACGAGUAGAAAUUCUCAUAAGUAGCCCAUAAGUACAAUAACCGUCUCGAUAACGAAGUUUUCGAUAACAAUACAAUUUGCCGUAACAACGUGCACACUCCAAGUUCGAUAGCUCUCGCGAUACCAGUUCUGCUCAACUGAAAAUAGUUUCGCGCGCGAUCUGGCCGAGCUCAAUUUCGGAAACCUGAAACUAUUCCUGCGGAUCGACAAAUAUGCGGAUUUGACGGAACAACUUAGCGAGUCGCUUUCCAAAGUCGUCUCCUUUUCCUCGAGGUAACUUCCCCUGACUUUCGCUUGCACUGAGUAUCGCAUUAUCAAAAAUUCUAUGUCAUUGCGAAUUCAGUGGAUCGACAACAACGAGCAUAACGAGACUGCCGACAAUCAGUGUUUCCUUCUCGGAACUGCGAGCGUUUUGUUUCAUGAGAAUUUAAACAGGUGCUCCUCGUUGGAGGACCUGCCGGUAGAUACGCAAAAUGCAACCGUGUGCAUAUAUGCACGCACGCACGCACGCACGCAUGCAUGCACGUCCGCCCGCACUCACGUAAGCAUACGGCGCCGUCAAGGCCAUGACGUCACCCGCAGGGGUAGACCGUUUCACCCUUCCAUCUCUAACCCCAUGAAAAAGGAAACCGGAUGAUUCUGCCCGGUCGGCUCUCAGGACUUCCCAUGACGUGCUUCCAAUACGCACGUAUUAUUGACUCACGCGUGCACGGCUAGGUAGUUAACUGCGCCGCUGAUUCAUGGCCAAACAAAAUAACGUCGAUAUUUUCCUCUCGUGUCACCAAAAGUAUGAGAAUAACUUGCCUAUUAUAAAUUGUCGGCGCAGAUCCACGAUAGUUCUAUUUUAUGACAAUAUUCAAAUAAGCAUCUCUUCAAUCGGUCAUGCAUAAAUUUGCAGAUGCUCAUCCCAGACGGUUGCAACACAGAUAUUAUUUUAAUAUUUUAGCGUUUUCAAGAUUAUCCUCUGUUAACUAAAAAAAGUAAUAUUGACUAGCCGCAUAGGUAAUGCAUUUAUUAUAGUCAUCAAAAAAUUACAACAGAUUUUUUAAAUCUUCGGAAAAUUCUUUGCAAAAAGACACUAUAUCUCAAACUUACUUCUAUUCGCAACAUCAUGUGGUGUCCAUAUUUUCUAUAAAACGGCAGCCGUCGCGAUUAGGCCCUUUCUCAGUGAUUAGCGCAGUGAGAAUUAAAUUGUCGCACGAUCAACGAACGGAUCCACGAGAUCCGUCGAGAAGAUCACAGGCCCAGGACGCGACGGUGCCAGUCCUCGAGAGGAAGAGAUGGUCCCUUCCUCCGGAAGACGCGCGGUCCCACGGGGAAUAAAGGGGGAUGCGCGUGGUCGGAAAGGGAUUCGCUCGUUCCGAGAACCCAGAACUUUCCCUCAGUGGAGGAACCGGCCGGCGGGAUGGGCCGGCUGGGCCCGAAAGAGGCUACGUUUCGACACGUAGCACAUCUGCCAGUUGGUGCCUCUGCCACACAGCUGCCAAAUAAUGCGACCGAUCCCUUCCUGACCUUCUCACUUCUCGUCUCGCUCCUACCUAUCUUUUCGCUCUUUCUCCAUGCGUUUCGCUUCUUCAGCACGGCCUGUUCCUUCGUCUGCUGUUCUUUCUCUCUCUUUCUUUUCCCCUUCUUCCCUUUUCUUCCAUCUCGGUCUGUCUUCAUUAUUUCCACAGCGGCACAGGCCUCUCCUUUAUGCGCCAAGGCCCGAUUCCCGCUUUGUAUUCGAAUCGACAAGCUGCCGCGUAAGAGCGACGAAGAAAAGACCAGAAAAGAGACGAACGAGAGAGAAAGAGAAAAGGGCAACAUGUCGGUGUGCGAGUACCGGGUUUACCUGUGCCUUGCUAAUGCGAGGACAGCCCAGACAAGCCCGGGGCUCGUGUCCCAAAGUACAAAAGACUGCCGGCCGGCGCGUUCAUGUGCGUUAUGUAUACAUGUACAUGCAUUCGCGUACGUCCCCCGUGUGCGCGCGUAUGCGUGACUUCUUAUUCCGUGUAUCCACAGAAUGUAGAUCACCUCUGCUGCUACUAUCACCCUUCGUCGGCACUGUCUCGAGGAACGGAAGUUUCUCUCAGUUGCUCUUUACUUUUUUUCUCCUUUAAUCGUGAUACCUGUUCCCUGAAUUAAUCGAAGAGUACGUUGCUACUCGAGAGAGUGCUACUUGCAUACAGCUGCGAUUUCGCUUUCCGUUCUCCAUCAACGAUAGUCGCGGGAGAAACGUUGCCGCAAACCGCAGGAAAAUUCCGACGCCGGGUAUUCCUAGGUGAACGUACACGUGGGAUUCUCAUUUUGUUCACGUCCUCGCAAACGAUGAUAACAAGACAGAAAGAACAUCAUUUUGGUAACAACACGUCAUCUUUGACGCAUUGCCAAGUAUCAAUUUAGAAAUCUUCACAAAGCAUUUUCGUCUUGAAUACAUCUUGAAAUUCGUGACCAAAAAGUGGCCGACCUUCCACGUAUAUUUCAAGCAGCAAUUUUACAGAUCGUAAACCUUUGACGUUUUCACCAGGUAUUACGAAACAAAAAUGAAAGAAGAAUGUUACGCCGAACGCCAAACGAUAACGCGUUGAACGCACGAGAACGACACGGGCGCGCGGGUUCGUCGUUCCGAAUUCCAAAUUGCGAAGGCGCGAAGCGGAUUACGCAACGACUAGAAAGGCGCCGACACUCUCAACGUUAUACUUAACGGGCGCCAUUGUUGCGCAGAAGCUCGCGUUCGUUGCAUUAUCUCGACGAUAAGACUUUCACCCACCGACCACUCGCACUCGCGCACACGUUGCACUUUGCCGCACGCAUUAUUUUUCCGCGAGCGACACGACGCAACGCUCGCUUGUGGCACCACGCGCGCAAUGCUUCUGCGCUGCGAGGCCGCUCGAACGCGUAAUCGAUGAGGGACGCGAAUUAAUAAUGCCGAUACGACCGCGCGACUCGAGUCAUGCAUAGAAAGAGAGAAAGAGACAGGGAGAAGAGAGAGAAAGGGAGAGAGAGAGAGAGUCAAUGCAACCGCAUUGUCGGAAUGAUCCAAUCGCGGUCAACAUUUCUGUCCCGGAAAGAGAAUCUUUUUCAGGUCGCCGAUUAUUUCGCGCGGAACUUGUUCAGCGAACUAGAAUGAAAACUCCACUAUAUAUCGCGCUUUAGAAAUUUCUGAUCCCUUCCAUUUCUCGUUCAGUCCCUUUUAACUCUGGGCGAGUAAAAUUACCAUUCUGUCAGUUCGCGAUGUUAGUAUGUCGAGGAACAAAGAACGAAUCUCGACGCGCUCGUCCGCCCGCGAUGCGAUUGUUAAUCGAGACGACGAAGAUUAACAAGGAAGAUGAUUAACAUUCUCGUCGGGAUAGGCGAACGGUUGUUUUCUUGGCGAGAAGACGCACGUAUCGAUUCGCGCGGCACGCUCCUGCAUCUCGAUGUACAAUAUUUUCGAUUUCUGCCCUCGCCGUGGGGAUGGUAUCCAGACAGUAUCCACCGCGUGCAUUGUUAACUGAUUAGUCGACAGCUGUGCACACACAACAUCGCACGUGGAGUUUCUCCGCGCGGCUCUGUCAAGUUGGAGAUUUUUAAUUUACAGCACCUCACUCGGAAGAUCACACCACACCUUACCGCCACCGUAAACUAGCGCAUUUUCAAUGCGUGAAUCGAUAACACUGGACUAUUUCGCGUCCGCAUUAAAUAUUCGCAACGUGCGAUAGAAACUGCCGAUAAUUACCGCGCUGCAUAUAUUUCUGUAUAUUUUUCGGAUAGUUUUUUAAAUUAUCGCAAGAUUCUUUAAUUAGGAUAAUCAUUAGGGUAAUUAUCAAAUUAUCUCAUACUUUCAAUUUGCGGAAUGUUUCUUUUUUUUAUUUGUAUAAUUGUAAUUGCGGCGUCUCUCUCGCUUAUCUAGUGCUGAUUGAUCGCCUGAGUAUACAUAUCGUGCGUCAGCAAUUCUUUUCUCUUUCUAAUAUUGUCGUCCGUCAGAACGCGAUAACGCGGCGAAGAUACGAGGCAGGUUUCACCCGAGGAUCAAUUUCAUACAGGAAGCAGAUAACUAAACGCGUUGCGAGCGCAACGGAGAAUGCGAACUGGUUGCCUACCGGAAAAUAAUGAAGCAGCGAAGUAUAACGUCGUCGCACUAAUAAAGAUCGCGGAUGUCACCGAACAGUGAAGCGUCGCGAAACUAGUUAUUUUAUAUGUUUCAAAUGACUCAAAUUGAUUUUUUUAUGAUUUAUUAAUGAUCUUCACAAUUAAGAAAAUGAGAAAUAUUCUUAUACACAUUUUUAAAUAUCUGGACCUUUGUAGCAGAAAAUAUUAGGUUGUAUCUAUUCGUCCCGUUUGUUUAAUGUUUUUAUAACGAAUAUAUGUUACAACCUAAUAAAACGAGAUAAUCGGCUAAAUACAUUGAUAUAUAUAAACUAUUUUCCAAGUAAUAUGAUAAGAGAUAUGUAUAAUAGAUUACCAAGUAAUUAACUAAUCAUAAGUGACAAAGCUGUUCUAAUUAAGAAUCUAUAAUGCAGCAGAUCCUAUCGCAUCCGCAAUUAAUUAACCGCCAAAUCCGUUUCACGUCAUUCCUGACAAAAAUACUUUCUCACGUAAUUUCCCAUUCUCAUUUGUCUUCCAGACACGCCAGUAAAGAAUUGGAGGAUUAUGGAAGAAGCUAAUAAAAAGGAAGAGAGACACGAUAGCGGGAAUAUUUCUCGGGAGACUCCCUCGUAGCGUGCACUGGAGACCUCGCAGCGUCAUUGGCUUUAGAGAGAAAAGAAAAAAGAAAUCGAUGGUCAACGGGGUAUACUACUCGUGAAAAGGGGAGACCCGAGAAAAGAUGUCGCCGGUCACCACGAGCAGGCGGAAUGUUUAACGCUCCAGAAAAUUAGGAACGUCCUGCUUGCAGAAGUAAAAGUAUACCUGAGGAUUGCACGACUAGUUCGGUCCCUCGUUUCUCCCUUUUCCCUUUCGUUCCCUCUUCGCCCUUAUCCACCCUCAAGAUGCAAGCUCGAGACGGUACCGCGUAAGGAAAAGCAGAAGGAAGCAUGGAGAGGGAAGGCUGGCUUGGUAACGGAGGAUGACUAGAGACGGACGAGCAAGACGAGGGUACGUUGCGUCCGGGUCUGCCUGGCGUCCUUCGCCGCGAAGUAGACAGCUGUUCCGUUUAUUUCUUCCUUUUCUCUCAUCGCAACAAGGCCCGAGUUCCGUGCGUUCGUGCACGUGCAGCGUGAAACGCGCCUAAUUCCAGCAGGCGAUCCACUUUGGGUGGAAAAUCCGAGUACGAAGACACGAGCGAACAACGACGAACGCUGUUACGCGAAUCUAAGAAAAUCAGAGGACGUGCAGUUUAUGUUCUUAUUUAUGACUUAAUUAAUAUAAAUGUUCGACGAAAGAACAACGCCGAAUAACACGGCAUAUCGUUACACGGCUGAACGAAAUAGAUGUUAUCAGGGAGAUAACUGCGAUUUCAAAAAGUCAAACGUUCCUCAUUAAACACGAGCCAUUCUUGUUUCUUGAUAAGACUACCGAGUCUGAGAUAAGAAACCGAGUCAAUUAGAGGACCAAUUUCAAAGCGGAACUAAACGACUGAUUUUGAGCCACUAAACAAGGAGUAAUUUCUGGGAUUAUUGCGCCCGUAGUAAUCUGUGAAUUCUACAGCGCCGACCUCUUAAUUAAUGCCAGCUCAUUAACACAAUAUCAGCGACAAUUAAAAACGAUCGGGAAAUGAAGACUAGAGGAGUGGAGGGGGAACCUAAAUAACGAGUUUCUCGUUGCGAAAUCCAAUUGCGUCUGAAUGCCAAGCGACAAUUUCAUUCGGAUGCAAACGGUGAUCCGCGAUGUGCGCAUGUGCGUUCUCAUGAUGGACAUCACGUGGACGUGCACACACGCUCAGGCGAAAGUUACGUUAUUUCGUUGAUGACGUACGUGCGCGUAAACGAGGAGGGGUUUUACGCACAACCCAUACGAUGCUACGGAUCAGAGGGAGAGAAAGAGAGAGGAGAUACACAUCUGUAAUCGUACACAUGCCAGGCGACGAAGAUUCUGAACGCCUCUCGUGCGAAACUGCGUCAUUUCUGCCGAUAUAAACGUCGUAAUUUCUUUAGAUCGGCAUCCCGUUACACGCCGAGGAUGAAUGCGGUUUCGCCAAUGAGCCCGCGAAAAUUUACGCGCCCGAUCUCUCUGGUCAGUGUGAAAUUCAACUAUUCUCGCGGGAACGCUGCCAAAAAUUCGGUUUGGACAUUAUAUUUAGUUGGGCAUUCGAGAGAGAGAGAGAGAGAGAAUAAUGCUGGCCAGGACCAACUUGCGACAAGGGGUAAUUAUUGUGUCACGAGACGACGACGCGAGUCGCCAUAACUCGCUGUUUAUGACAAUCAGUAGAAUUUACGCGAUUUAAAAUUAAAUAACGUUGCAUUUUUUAAAGAGAUGAAAUCUGUCAAAGAUAGAAUAUUUAUCGGAUAAAUAAAUCAUGGGCUGCAACUAAAUCAGUUUGAAUAGGUUGAAGAUAAUUAUGAAACUUCUUUUUCUACGUGCGAAAAAUUGUGAAUAUUUUGAGUUUCUCGCGAGCGCAUUGUGAGCUUCCGCGAGAGAAAAUACAUCGAAUUGCUCAUCCGCCCACUACCUCUUUUGCAUAGAGUAACCUAAACGCCCACAUAUCUCCAUUACCCUCUGUGGCUUUUUGUUACGAACGUCACUUGAAUCCUCCAUAAAUGCCACAAUCUCGAAUACAAGAAUCGGUAAUAAGACAACACGUAAUUGCUUUUUAAUGAACACAUAUAGAAAAACAGAUUUGUAAGCGGAUACAUCCAACAAUGCAGGAGAAUUGUACGACAUAAAAUUAGAAUAGGGAAAAAAGCUUCACGAGAUUUUUAAUUGGAGAGUGCAAUUUUUCUGUAUCUGACAGUGAAAGAUUGUGACGUUUUGAUCGAACGUGUUUGGAUGGAUUUUUCUCUCAGUCGCAGUUGAUUGGAUUUGAUUUGUAUCUAAAUUCGCUUUUGUGCAUCUUUCAAACGUCAGGUAAUUGCAAGCUCACGUUCCACGAGUAGGAUUCUAUUGAUUUAUACGAUUUUAACAAUUUAUAAAUAUUCGUGGGAAACUAUUGGCACCGUUUCAAUAUUCGUGCGGUACAAUGCAAUCGUUACUAUUCAUUUUAUGCUCCAUUACGUUUAAUGUACAAGAAUAUCCGAAAGUACAAUCUUUAUCUGAUGAAUUAGCAAUAGUCUCUCUACUCGGUGCUCUACUUCAUUGACUCUUCGAACACCAUCAUUAAAUCACACAAGACAUUUCACCGAUAAUUUGCAUUACAUAUCUGUUUUAAAUUAAAUUAAAUUUCAUCGGAUAAAAUCAAGAAGACAAAAUUGCAAUACUAAGAUACAACUUAAACAGAUAAAUCAGCGAUGCAUGUACUGAUCACUAUUAGAACAUGUUUAAAAUAUUGCUUAUACUUAAAUACUAAGACACAUGCCAUUUUGUACAAAUCGCAAUGUUAAUGCUUGUAUAAAUGUGUGUCUCAUGUUUCUUGACUUGAUAUUAUUAAGAUAUUAUUCUGACUAUUGAUUUCGAAUAUUCAUGAAAAUAUAUAUACUUUGAUAAAAAAUAGAUAUAUUUAUAGAUAUAUUUGCAAAUAACUAUUUUUAACUAUUUGUGGCUACUUUGCAACAAUUGGCUAAUCAUCUACAUGAAUUAUUAUUACUACAAUCAAGUCUUCGUUCUGUGAUGUAAUCUCCAAAUACAUAAAGUUAAAUAAAUUCGAAAUGCAAUAAAUAUCAACUAUAAAAAAAGUGACGCCGAUACAAAAUCUCGUUUCAAUUACGUGUUCAAGCAUAAGAUUAAAAACUGUCACGUGCGAGACCCGAAUCGGAGUCGCGCACUUUCACGCAGCCUAGCAGGUUGAUAACCACUGGCCACAACCACGAUCCGCUGUUGCGUCGCAUACUGGCGCAGCACACGCGUAGCCGCCGCAUACGCGUACUGCAGUACUUUUGUACUCUCACACGUCUUAUUGUGCGACAAAUAAUGCAUUUUUCGAUUCUCUGAUUUGUUAUAGAAUGCCUAGAGAGUGAAAAUUAAAUAAUCUUGAUACGCAAACGAUCGAAGGAAGCGAGCGAAGCUUCGUAUUUCAAUCUAUCGUGAACAGAGAUUUAAUUUGAGAAAAUUUUCGUUCAAACGUGUUUUAUGUAUAAUUCAAACUUAAUGUAACAUGAAAAUUCGAAAAAUGCUAUUAAUAAUUUUCCAUUAAACUCCAUUUUAUUAAAAAAAAAACCAUGAUAGAAAGAGCGUGAUAAUCCUGUUCUACGCGAUGAAGUAGUAGGCACUUCCGAUUUAAUAGUUGCCUAAAUCAUGAAAAAAAGAUAUGUUUAUAAAAAGCAACUCUAUGUGCUUGAAAGAGAUGUGCUUUACGAUGCUAUUAUCCCACACCGAUUAAUCGCGAAUUAUCAUUGCUAGCAGAGUAUCGUUUGCAUCUUAUUGUCUUAUUUACGCCGAUGAUUAAUGAUAGGAUUCUAUGUAGGUACGGCGUGAUGUUUCGAAGCUGCACGCUACAUCAUAGAUACAUCGAUACGUUACGGUAAUCAUAUCGAAUCGCAAUCAAUUUAGCGUGUAGAUGUUAUAUUCAAUUAAGACUCGCGCACGUCGCCGAUUGACGUCGCGGGCAUGAUUUUCGGAGCGUACUCGUAAGACAGGCUCGUUUAAUAGACGUAAUGGGCAUGAUUAAUUAGCGGGAAUCAAAAGGUCUCGUGAAGAGCGGGAGAAAGCGGCUACUUCGCAUUAUUCGAGCCGCCGCGAAUUAGGAAGGAUAACCAUUGCCGUAUCGGCUACGCGUAAUUGCGUUAUUCGCACCCGCAAUUAAUUGUCCCGGAUUAACUUUGAAGAUAAUCAAUUUUUCCAUCGCAUUAUCAUGGACGUGGAUUUAAAAGCGUGCAUUUAAAAGAAUAAGAUUAGCCGUGGCACUACUAAGCGGAUUAUCGAAUGAAUUAAUAAAUUGAAUAAUGCAAUGAAUCGUCUCUCGUAUGUUUCUCUCUUUUUAACACCAAAAGUGCACACACGCACAUACGCACCUACACGCACGUGUACAUACAUCACGGACACUUCCAGAGAUAACUUACGCAAUACUGAUUUCUUUCCCGAUCUAUAUCACCGUUCUCUUUUUAUCUCCGCGUGUUUGCCUUCGCACGAAACGCGCCUCCGUGCAGCGCGACGCGCGGAACGAAAAUUUAGUUAAGUCAUCACGAACAGAUGCACAACAACGGUGACGUAAGGUGGUUUCCGAACGUAGUCUUUGAUCGCUUCUUAUCCGAUCUCUUUCGAUAUGAUCUGCUCGGCGCCACGCGUCGUGUCGCGUCAAAGUCACCUCGCAAUGGCGUGCGCGCGCGUGGUUCAUCGCUUCUCGUGACGUCUCGCCGAGCUUACUACGCAUUACACGAACGGGAAAAGUGGCCGCGCUUCGUGGAUCGAUAAUGACCGACCGCCUCGAGAGAGAGAGCACGUGCCAAACACGGGGAGCCGGUCGAACGGCGGCAGUGCCGGCGUUUUCCGGUGUCCUCGCCGAAUAAAACAUGGCGACGUCGCGCGCGCAACACACUCGCGAAAUUCAUGUACCCCGCUCUCGAUCUCCUUUAAUCUCUCUCUUUCUCUCCUCGCAAACUGCCUUGCCGUCCCAUUGCCAUCGAACGUUGACCUCACCCGUCACUAUUUUGCGUGCACGGUGUCUGACAUUGUCGCCGCGUUCGAUUAAUAAGAAACAGAGAACAAGUCGUAUAAUUUGACAUUUGAUUAUUAGAUCAUGAGGCUUGCGAGCGUUGCGUAUUCCACGUUGAAGUGUAGCGUGAAACAAUUCUAUAAGAUCUAUAAUCUAUAAGAAAUUUAUUUCUUCUUAAUAAUGGUUGUAUUAUAAAACACCAUUUCUCAUUAUUGAUACAUCUUUCUAAUACGCGAUAUGCGAAAAAUACUAAGAACUUAGCUUGGAAUAAAAGAUUCAAUUUAGACUCGUUUCGUAAUUACGCGCAAAUCGUAACUAUCAAUCAUCGGCAGUAUCGCAUAAAGGUGUCAGUGGUAUCGUUAAUGCGACGUAAUCUGCACGAUUUGCACGAACGAUUGAGCGGCGAAUUUUUCGCCGUUCGCUAACGCUCGCCAAAGAGGUCGCGCCGCGGCAGAAAACGCAAUUGCAGCGGCUCCGCGCAAUUAUGCAGAUUAUUCGCAGCCGCGUGAAGGAUCGUGGUGCCGUCGGCGCAAACUUCCCUUCGUUUGCCACACAUGGAAAACUUUGCGCGCUGUCGUAACCGAUAGUGACCCAGACAUAACACGGAGAACGUGAAAACGAUAGCGACGCCCUGACAGAUUGUAAAGAUAUAUCUUGUUCCCGUCGCGCUUUUAUCACGUAUUGAGAAUGCAUUUGGAACGUAUACUUGUAAUCAGAAAAUUCAUAUUUUCCCGAAAUAAAAUAAUAACAAAAUUAAUAA